rnacentral:piRNA from 1 species
UUUAGACAAACUAUUUUGUGGAGUUUAAA